GACAAUUUGUGCAUAGAAACAACCAAUUUUCUAAAAGCCUGGAUCAUAUUAACACAUUAGGAAUAGAGAAAAGGAUUAUUCAAACCUCAAACCAAAAGGAGAAUCGUUUACAUUUACAGUUGGAAUGGAAAUGAUAGCCAAGGAGAAUAUUGCUCCGAUAGCCUACAGCAACAUGUGACAAAUUGAAAUAUGUAUAUAACAUUAUA
rnacentral:misc_RNA from 1 species